GACAGAGGGUGCGAACGUUGCUCGGAAUUACUGGGCGUAAAGCGCGUGUAGGCUGGUAAUCAAGUCCGAUGUGAAAGCCCUGGGCUCAACCCAGGAACUGCAUUUGAAACUGGUUGCCUUGAGUGUUGGAGAGGGAAGCGGAAUUCCUGGUGUAGAGGUGAAAUUCGUAGAUAUCAGGAGGAACACCGGUGGCGAAGGCGGCUUCCUGGACAACUACUGACGCUGAGACGCGAAAGCGUGGGGAGCAAACAGG
rnacentral:rRNA from 1 species